rnacentral:misc_RNA from 1 species
UUAAGUUCAGCGGGUAAUCCUACCUGAUUUGAGGUCAAACUUUCAAAAGUUGUCCACAAAAUGGGACUGUUAUAAGCUGAACAGACAGAGAGCAUUCUAUAGUCUUAGGCGUAGAUAAUUAUCACACCAGUGACAGAUUGCAAACCGUUCCGCUAAUGCAUUUCAGGGGAGCUGACCUUUGAAUCAAGGCCUGCACAAAA